rnacentral:lncRNA from 1 species
AAUUAAAGAUUCAACAAAUAUCGGUGAGUGAACUUGCAUUAAAAUAUUUUGGGAAUGUAUUGGUAGUUGGAUUGAAGCAUGUGAAUGAUUUGUAUUUGGUUUUCCUUAAAGAUUAUGCAUGAGAACAAGCCUUUAUUAAAACGUUUUAUGUUGUGAGUGUGCAAUAUGAUGAAUCCUUGAGCUCCUAUAGGGUGUUGAUAUAUAUAUAUAUAUAUAUAUAUGUUGUGUAGUGAUAGAUAAUAUUGUGUAAUAAAUGUAACCAUGCGUGUGCACGAUGUGGGGGGAAGCACAUGCCGGUGAUGACGGGUAUGGGAGUGUGGAUGAUGAUAUCAUCUAUGCACAAUGUGAGGGGAUGCACACGACGGUAUUAGUUGUGCACGAUGUGGGGUGAUACACACGACGAUAUUAGUUGUGCACGAUGUGGGGGGAUGCACACGAUGACUCCAGCUAUGUGCACGAUGUGGGGGUUGUACAUGAGCUGAGUGAGGCGGUGGCGGUGUAUAUGCUUAUGUAUAUAUAUGUAUAUUUACUAUAUAGAGAGUUUGGAAUUAAUAUGUGAUUGCUUUGACUGUUGAAGCUUGUUUAUUGUCAAUGUGUUCACUUUGAUGUGCAAUAUGGUAGGAAUGGAUUUUGUGGCAUGUGAAAAUCCCUUAAUUGUCAUCUGCCCUAAAUCUCGUUACAGUGAGAAACUCUCAGGUGCUGGGGGCACAAACCAGCCCUGUUUCUCGCUGCAGUGAGAAAGAAUUCUUGCUGCAACAAGGAAUUUAGCUGUAGCGAGAAACCCUCGAGUCAUUCCAAAAUUUUGAUGCAGUGCUUUUACCUUUACGAAGAUUUUGACCAUCUUUCGUUCAGAACUGGGCAAAGUGGUAAACAUAAAAGUUGUAUCCCCACUCUUAGCUUUCUAACAGUCAGAAAAUCAGGUCAAUUGGACUUUUGUAGUGAGAGAUAUACUUGAAAAAUGGAAACAUACACAAACAAAGGCUGUUUGUCGCUAUAGCUAGAAACUUGCGGUCAUGCUUGCAACCUUGCUUGAUUUUGACAUAUUUUUCACCCAUUUAACUUCAUGGAUUGAUCAUGGGUUUUUACAACACUAUAAGGUUAUUAAUCAAAGUUUGAAAUGAAGGGUUUUUAGUAAGAAAUUAAAUCAAGUGCAUUGCUUUUGAAACAAAUGCAUCAUGAUUUCCAAGUUCUCCUUAUUGAUUGCUUGUUCCCUUCUUAUGUUCACUCACUGAGUUUAUACUCACAUUUUUAAAACUUCAUGUUUUUCAGAUUUGGAGGCAGUUGGGACCUAGAUUGAGUGUCCAUGUAUGCUCGUCUUCUUGGUAGGUACUAUGGCAUCUCAGUAGCGGUACUUUCACUUAAAGUCACUCCGCUGACGGGUGAGAGUCUUUUGUUGGUGUACACGUAUAUGUAAUGCAAACUACUAAGAGUCAUGUUAUAAAUGAAGUGCAUAUAUGAUGGAUUGAUGA